rnacentral:rRNA from 1 species
UACAGAGGGUGCGAGCGUUGUUCGGAAUUAUUGGGCGUAAAGGGCGCGUAGGCGGUGUUGUAAGUCACCUGUGAAACCUCUGGGCUUAACUCAGAGCCUGCAGGCGAAACUGCAAUGCUGGAGGGUGGGAGAGGUGCGUGGAAUUCCCGGUGUAGCGGUGAAAUGCGUAGAUAUCGGGAAGAACACCGGUGGCGAAAGCGCUCUACUAGGCCGCAACUGACACUGAGGGACGAAAGCUAGGGGAGCGAAUGGG